CGUAAUCUGCCAGUUUGACACGCGCGUCGGGCGACUUGGAGCUGAGCAUGAAGUUCUCAGGCUUCAAGUCCCGAUGAGCGAUCCCAUGAGCAUGCAGGUAUUCUAACCCCGUGGCUAGAUCACGAAAAAUCGUGCGUCCAACUUCUUCGUUGAAAUGUCCGCUGUUGACUAUGUGGUCAAGUAAGGUGCCACCCGUGACGAGCUCCAUCACCAGAAGUACUCGGGUUGGCUCGUCGAACCAUUCUCUCAAGCAGAUGCAGUUCGGUUGCUUGACACGACACAAGAUGUCGAUUUCAGUUUGCAGCGAGUGGUCACCAGGAUCGACUUUACUCUUUUCGAUCACCUUGACGGCCCAUUUGGAAUGAUCCGAUUUGCACGUGACCAAGCGCACCACCCCGAAAGCGCCCUCGCCCAAGAUUGAGCCAACCUUGUAAAAAUCCUUGAAGCUUCCCUUCUUGUUGAGCUUGACGUGACCAAACUCACCCCCACUCCCUGCUGGGUCCAGCAGGAUAUCGUCCAUUUCAAAUAUCGCGUCGAUGAGGCUCAGGACGGUGGGCGAUGGUCGCCGCGCUUUAGCUCAGCAUGGCGACCGUCAGGGACGCGACCUUUUAUCUGAUGCCUUGACAGCUGCGGUGUGUCACAUUCCCGAGACUCGAGCCGGAAAUAUAUAUAUUACGAAGGUAGUAUGAUUGCGGUCGGUUGCAGUUUUUUGUUUGCUUGCCAACUCAGAUCGAAUGUGUUAGGAGUGUUAGAACGUGUGAAGCCUGCGGUCGGUCGUCGUGUGUGAGCAUGGCUACAUCUCCUUAUAUCUGGACUAUCGCCACGAGUGCUUUACAAGAAGUAGAUAGACAAUUACAAGCUGAGAGGGCAAGGAAUGAUGAUUUACAAGUGAGAUUACAAGCGCUUGAAGCUAGGAUUGAGGCGCUGGAAAAGAACUAAUGCCAUCUACCUUCGUGGUGAGACUAGUGAGAGGUACGAGGGUGCAGCACGCUUUCUCCACAUCAUAUGGGCAGCAACAAUCUAGCUGGUAGGCAUUAAUGACUCCUGCUUUUUUGUCCACCAAUACAUACUGGCACUCCUCACUAUUCUUCUCCUCACUAAUCUCAAAAAAAUGAUGCCACGAAUCAAAGCCCGCCCAGGUCAACUUCACACAAGAGAUCAACCAAGGGACGGGUAACGGCACGCCGAAGAGGCACGGGCAACAACAAAGGUUGCCUACAUUUCCCCACUCGCAAAAAUAAACACAGAACGGGCAAGGAAACUCGGCACAAAAACACAUCUUACACCCCUUGGCAUGUUCAGUGGGGAUCAGAGAAGCGGUGGUGUUGUACGCGGCGCGCACUUUGGCCUGCUUAACGUCCGUGUAUUUCAUCCUGUGCCAUACUUUUAGACCAUAAUCUUGUCUUCUGUCGUUCUGGCGGAAAUCAGUGUCGGUCGGCUGCGGCGCCAUGACCUGCGACGACGGGGGCCGAGUGCUCAGCAUCCUCGUCAACACUCAGCUUGGGUCGUUAUGUUCCGGGGGGAAGAAGAAGUGAAGGGCGACGGCAACGAUGAGGCCGGCCCCCGUAAAGCAAACAGAUGCGCCGUUCCGUAGGUCGCGAUAUUGAGUUUGGCCGCACGACCCUGCGCGGGGCGAAGUAGAUGCAUGCGUGGUCGGAAACGAUAUCGAAGGGAAAUCGCCGGGAAAAAUUUUGGUCAUCUGAGAUCAAGCCGAGGAGGUGCCCGAAAUGGCUCAAGCUCGGCAGUCUCUUCUCGUCUCAUUGGCUCCGCGCGCCGUCCGAGGGAGAGACGGGUCGCGACCACAUCCGGGCUCGGAGCGCGCGCCACCGCGUUCUUCGCCCCACACAGCGCGUGGGUUCGCGACGCGCGAGCGAGUGACACACGGAACAGACAGACGGAAACGCGCGUCCAAAGCAAUGGGGGCGGCGUCC
rnacentral:lncRNA from 1 species